CAAUAGCGUAUAUUAAAGUUGUUGCGGUUAAAAGCUCGUAGUUGGAGUUCUGCCAGGUGACGCUCGUCCGCCCAAGUGGUGUGUACAGGGCGUGCAUCUGGCCCUUUCAAGGGGAACGUGUCUGCUCUUUAUUGAGUGGUGCGAGAUCCUUGACUUUUACUUUGAGGAAAUACAGAGUGUUCCAAGCAGGCUCUCGUCGUGUAUAGCUCAGCAUGGAAUAAUAGCAUUGGACUUCGUUUCUAAGCUGUUGGUUGCAAGAAGCGAGGUAAUGAUGAAGAGGGAUAGUUGGGGGCGAUUCGUAUUUAACUUAGUCAGAGGUGGAAAUUACUUGGAUUUGUUUAAAGAACGGACUACUGCGAAAGACAUCUGCCA
rnacentral:rRNA from 1 species